rnacentral:lncRNA from 1 species
ACUGUGUCGGCCAGGCUACCCUGGAGCUCACAGAGAUCCACUGAAACUAAAGGUGUCUGCCGCUAUGCCUGGUGGAGUGGAGUGACAGAAACACAUGUCACGAUUCCCAGCAUCCUCAGCAUCCUCACCUCCCACCAGCUGAUCCACUGCAACUAGGUUCUGAACUGACUCCGGAAGACUGCCCAUGGGAGAGGCCGUGCUGCUGUUCUCGGGUAGGUAUUUGAUGUGUGCGGGCUGGGCACCGGUGGAAAUAGAACCUCGUGGUAUGGUCUGUAGAAACCCGAGGAAGAUAACUGAAGCCUGUCUUCUACUGCGCUCGAGGUGCAGUCUACCUUAGAGCUACUUGAUUAUCGGCGCAUACAUUUUUGUGGAGAAGCCUCGUUGUAUACUUUCUGCCAUGGCACAACUCCAGGCACGUUUCU